rnacentral:rRNA from 1 species
UACAGAGGGUGCGAGCGUUGUUCGGAAUUAUUGGGCGUAAAGGGCGCGUAGGCGGUGCGAUCAGUCAGGCGUGAAAGGCCCGGGCUCAACCCGGGGACUGCGCUUGAUACUGUUGCGCUGUGAGUCCGGGAGAGGAUGGCGGAAUUCCCAGUGUAGAGGUGAAAUUCGUAGAUAUUGGGAAGAACACCGGUGGCGAAGGCGGCCAUCUGGACCGGCACUGACGCUGAGGCGCGAAAGCGUGGGGAGCAAACAGG